rnacentral:lncRNA from 1 species
UAUGGUAAUAUAGGUGAUAUAUGGCAGGCAAGUUUACAAACAGAUGCUACUACCUAAGGAAUCGUAAUGCAACUUUCGGCUCUGGCAAUUUGGCGAAGAACACGACAGCCUUUUCGAUAAGAAAUCUGUAACACAGGUGAUUUAUGGCAGCUCCACAAACAGAUGCGGUACCGUCCCAGCGUCGGCAGAUGAGAGGGCAUCGCGAUGCAGCAUUCAGCUCUCACUGAUACUGGCUCAGAACGUGACAACAAUAUGCAUCGCCCGCAGCUUUUCAGAACCCACCGUGUUUCUGCAUCGAACGAGUAUCCUGCCACCCAUCUACAUUGAAAUAAUAAGCAAGCAAGCACUCAAGAGGUAGAUCCUCCCUCCCGAAAACUAUCAUGUCUCCAACCUGAUAGCGCCUGUGCAGCGUAAUUGCUUCCCAGAAUAAUUUUCCCUAGUAACUCAUUUUCGAACGAAUGGAACUUAUUCGGCAGAAAAGGCUGAAACAACUUGAAUAAAUGGGAACCGGCGUCACGAACCAAACGGGCAACCAGCAUCAUUUUGCGGUUCAUCACGGGCAAGCUUUCUUUGAUCUCAGCAUGCAAGGCUAUUGACAUUUCGAACAAUAUUUUAGGAUCACUUAUGAGACGUGACACAUGGAACCAC